AGUGAACGCUGGCGGUAGGCCUAACACAUGCAAGUCGAACGGCAGCACAGUAAGAGCUUGCUCUUACGGGUGGCGAGUGGCGGACGGGUGAGGAAUACAUCGGAAUCUACUUUUUCGUGGGGGAUAACGUAGGGAAACUUACGCUAAUACCGCAUACGACCUACGGGUGAAAGCAGGGGAUCUUCGGACCUUGCGCGAUUGAAUGAGCCGAUGUCGGAUUAGCUAGUUGGCGGGGUAAAGGCCCACCAAGGCGACGAUCCGUAGCUGGUCUGAGAGGAUGAUCAGCCACAUUGGAACUGAGACACGGCCCAGACUCCUACGGGAGGCAGCAGUGGGGAAUAUUGGACAAUGGGCGCAAGCCUGAUCCAGCCAUACCGCGUGGGUGAAGAAGGCCUUCGGGUUGUAAAGCCCUUUUGUUGGGAAAGAAAAGCAGCAGGUUAAUACCCCGCUGUUCUGAGGGUACCCAAAGAAUAAGCACCGGCUAACUUCGUG
rnacentral:rRNA from 1 species